AGGCGCGGUAGUCCCCGCGGGACCCCGCGCCGCCUGUACAGAGACCCUCCCACAAAUGCACUGCUGUUAACUUUUCUACGUGGACGUUUCUAGAACCUAAGCACAGCGCCGUCAGUCCUGGGGUGACACUCGCUUUCCGCUCGAAGCCCGCGGAGUCGGGGAGUUUCAUCCACAGCCUUGCUGGGGGUGAUCUUUCGUUUUCCGAGCUUGAGGUUAGACCACUGGAAGAGAAUUCGAGUUUGUACAUCUUUUCCCACAGUUCGGAUUUGCAAUGUAAAGGCCUCAGAUCCCUCUCUAGAGCCCCAGGAUCUUGUCUUAUUUAUGGAGAAAACACGGUCAUUUUGUCCAGCGCACUGUGAGGCCCCCACUCAGGGCCGGCCCUGGCCCUCCCUUGGUACUGGGAACCGAAGUUACAGAUAUAUAUUAAAAUAAUAAUAAUAAUGUACAAAACUUUUUUUGCCUUAUUAUGCAGAAGCGUAAGAGGAUUUUUUUCGGUUUUUAAAAAAAAAUGAAAUAUGUAAAUAGUCUGUUAAUAUAAAUAUAUGGCGUUAUUAAAUUCUUAACCUGGGUAGACUUUAUAAAAAGUUUCUAGAAACCUCUCUGGUGAUUUGUUUAACACGGUCACAAAAAGAAACCCUCGCUGUCAGUUGGAAACGCGCGCAAGUUUAACUGCAGCACCGACCCUUCAACUAUGCAAGCGCUCUGAGGUGGGGCUGGGCCGCCGUCCGGGGAACGAGGCUCGGAGCGGCCACGCCGGCCUCCCCGGUCCCCAGCCCUGGGGCCCUGCCCUCCCUGGGACUGGCCGGCUCUGGCCGCAGGACACUUCUGUGGAUCCUGGUUUCGUUUGCGCAGCGUUUUCGGAAUCUGUACCUGACAAGCAGACUUUCAGGAGUGAAGAGUAAAGGUUCAUCACAAAACGAAACGGUAACUGGUGUUUUCUCUCCUGUGCGAAGGCCGUCAGCAAACGUUUCUCAGCGUGGCCCUGCCCCGACCGAGGCCUUGGCAUGAUUUCCUUUUGCUUUCGGGUUUGCUCUCAUAACCUCUCGAACGCCGCCUCGCCCUGCCCUCAGCGCCCUUUUCUGUUCCCCGGCGGCCACACGUGUGUCCGCCGCACUUUUGAGCCUUGUCGGUUCGACGUCCGCAGCCGUUUGCUCCGUUCUGUACUUUCAACCCGUUUCCACUGUGGACUGUGGUUGCUUUAAACAUUCAGUUCUCGUGUCAAUCAAUGAAGAUAAAUACAGUCUUGAUUUCGAUCA